GGUAUGCACUAGCUUCGCUGAUUCCUCCUUUCUGAAGAACUGUAAUGCCAUUAAUUUGGUGUUGCAGGGAAACAGGACUGUUACUUUGAAAAAAUUAGAGUGUUUAAAGCAGGCUAACGCUUGAAUACAUUAGCAUGGAAUAAUGAAAUAGGACGUUUGAUCCUAUUUUGUUGGUUUCUAGGAUUGACGUAAUGAUUAAUAGGGAUAGUUGGGGGCAUUAGUAUUCAAUUGUCAGAGGUGAAAUUCUUGGAUUUAUUGAAGACUAACUACUGCGAAAGCAUUUGCCGAGGAUGUUUUCAUUAAUCAAGAACGAAAGUUAGGGGAUCGAAGACGAUCAGAUACCGUCGUAGUCUUAACCAUAAACUAUGCCGACUAGGGAUCGGAUGAUGUUAAUUUUUUAAUGACUCAUUCGGCGCCUUACG
rnacentral:rRNA from 1 species